UACGUAGGGUGCGAGCGUUAAUCGGAUUUACUGGGCGUAAAGCGUGCGCAGGCGGCCCGUUAAGACAGGUGUGAAAUCCCUGGGCUCAACCUAGGAAUUGCGCUUGUGACUGGCGGGCUCGAGUACGGUAGAGGGGGGUGGAAUUCCUGGUGUAGCAGUGAAAUGCGUAGAGAUCAGGAGGAACACCGAUGGCGAAGGCAGCCCCCUGGCACAAUACUGACGCUCAGGUGCGAAAGCGUGGGGAGCAAACAGG
rnacentral:rRNA from 1 species